rnacentral:rRNA from 1 species
CGGUGUUUAACUGGCGUGAUGUGGGACGUCCUACCGGUGGGCUUAGCCUCGCGAGGGGCGGCCCAACUAAUAUCCCGUCGCGGUGCUCUUUACUGAGUGUCGAGUCGGGCCGGUACGUUUACUUUGAACAAAUUAGAGUGCUUAAAGCAGGCUAUCCUCGCCUGAAUACUGCGUGCAUGGAAUAAUGGAAUAGGACCUCGGUUCUAUUUUGUUGGUUUUCGGAACCCCGAGGUAAUGAUUAAUAGGGACAGAUGGGGGCAUUCGUAUUGCGACGUUAGAGGUGAAAUUCUUGGAUCGUCGCAAGACGGACAGAAGCGAAAGCAUUUGCCAAAAAUGUUUUCAUUAAUCAAGAACGAAAGUUAGAGGUUCGAAGGCGAUCAGAUACCGCCCUAGUUCUAACCAUAAACGAUGCCAGCUAGCGAUCCGCCGAAGUUCCUCCGAUGACUCGGCGGGCAGCUUCCGGGAAACCAAAGCUUUUGGGUUCCGGGGGAAGUAUGGUUGCAAAGCUGAAACUUAAAGGAAUUGACGGAAGGGCACCACCCGGAGUGGAGCCUGCGGCUUAAUUUGACUCAACACGGGAAACCUCACCAGGCCCAGACACCGGAAGGAUUGACAGAUUGAUAGCUCUUUCUUGAUUCGGUGGGUGGUGGUGCAUGGCCGUUCUUAGUUGGUGGAGCGAUUUGUCUGGUUAAUUCCGAUAACGAACGAGACUCUAGCCUGCUAAAUAGGCGUACCUUAUGGUAUCGCGAAGGCCCCCGGCUUCGGCCGGUGGGUUUUUACUACCAACGUACAAACAAAUCUUUUUAGAGGGACAGGCGG